ACGGGAGGCAGCAGUAGGGGAUAUUGCACAAUGGGGGGAACCCUGAUGCAGCAACGCCACGUGUGGGAAGAAGCAUUUCGGUGUGUAAACCACUGUCGUGAGGGAAUAAUGCUUGGUCUCGGCCAAGUUGAAUGUACCUCGAAAGGAAGCACCGGCAAACUUCGUGCCAGCAGCCGCGGUAAUACGAGGGGUGCAAGCGUUGUUCGGAAUCACUGGGCGUAAAGGGAGCGUAGGCGGUGCCGCAAGCAGUCUGUACAAUGCCGGGGCCCAACCCCGGACCUGCAGACUGGACUGUGUCUCUUGGAUAGUUCAGGGGCAGGCGGAAUUCCUGGUGUAGCGGUGGAAUGCGUAGAGAUCAGGAAGAACCCCGAUGGCGAAGGCAGCCUGCUGGGGACUCAUCGACGCUGAGGCUCGAAAGUGCGGGUAGCAAACAGGAUUAGAUCCCCUGGUA
rnacentral:rRNA from 1 species